GAUGAACGCUGGCGGCGUGCCUAAUACAUGCAAGUCGAGCGAACGGACGAGAAGCUUGCUUCUCUGAUGUUAGCGGCGGACGGGUGAGUAACACGUGGAUAACCUACCUAUAAGACUGGGAUAACUUCGGGAAACCGUAGCUAAUACCGGAUAAUAUUUUGAACCGCAUGGUUCAAAAGUGAAAGACGGUCUUGCUGGCACUUAUAGAUGGAUCCGCGCUGCAUUAGCUAGUUGGUAAGGUAACGGCUUACCAAGGCAACGAUGCAUAGCCGACCUGAGAGAGUGAUCGGCGACACUGGAACUGAGACGCGGUCCAGGCUCCUGAGGGAGGCAGCAGUAGGGAACGUGCCGCAAUAGUCGAAAGCCUUACAGAGCGACGGCGCGCGUGUUACGGAGGCCUUCGGAGCGUGAAGCUCUGUUAUUAGGGGAGAACAUAUGUGUGAGUAGCUGUACACAUCUUGACGGUACCUAAUCAGGAAGCCCCGGCUAACUACGUG
rnacentral:rRNA from 1 species